AAAAGGUAACGGAGGAGUUCAUUAAGGUCGGCUAGGUGCGGAUGGAAAUCGCGCCGAUAGGGUAAAGCCACAAGCCGGCUUUACUGCAAGGCAAAUAAGCCGCGCAGUUGCGAAAGCAGGACUUAGUGAACCGACCGUUUUCCCGACUCUUUUGGGUUUAUUCUUAAGAGGGUUGGGACUUCGUAGAACGGCGGAAGAUUACCAGAUAAAAGCUACUCCGGGGAUAACAGGCUGGUUUCGCCCGAGAGUCCAUAUCGACGGCGAAGCUCGGCACCUCGAUGUCGGCUCAUCACAUCCUGGGGGUGGAGAAGCUCCCAAGGGUUCGGCUGUUCGCCGAUUAAAGUGAUACGCGAGCUGGGUUCAAACCGUUGAUGUGCUAAUCGCAGCAUUAUGUUUUGGAUAAGAUUGGCGCAUGAACGGUUUGGGCCCCGAGGUAAAAACGACAUCAAUUCGCGGCGGCCUGCGAUAGAAAUAUCGUAGGACCAUGCUGACUUAUAUCGGUAAAUUCCAGACCGGAAAAUACCGAGGGAACCCCAACGGUAACGUCGGAGGCCCGUAGAGACUAUAUGUCAGCCACCCUAACCCACAGCGGCGGGUGAAGAUAUAGUCCAAUCCACAUAGGAAUAUGUGAGCGGAUGCGCGAGACAGGUUGGUCUCCUAUCCGCCGCAGGCGCAGAAUCUUGAGGGGAACUCUCCCUAGUAAGAAAUUGCUACUUUCUCGAGUAAUCGAGAUUGACAAUUCGGCUAAUAACGGUGAAAUCUUGUUAUUUCUGUUUCCUGACCCGCAUUUGCUUUCGGUCCCGCAAAUGUUGUAUCAUUGACUUGAGGACCAGAAGUAAUAAGAUAAUAUCGUGGGAAGUCGAUCUAACAUUAAUUUGGCUUAUAUCGCCGGCUUUCUUGACGGCGACGGCAGCUUAAUGCUGCAGAUCAAAAAGCGUAAAGACGGCGUCGCCAAAAAGCGCUUUAUGUGCACGAUCUGUUUUUAUCAAGACAGCCGGCACGAAAAGCCGCUUUAUUGGAUUAGGGAAAGCUUGGGUAUCGGAUAUGUAUCUCGAAGAAAUGACGGAAUUUCUGAACUUCGCAUUAACGGAUAUGAACAGAUACGAAGCAUUAUGCAAAAACUAUUGCCUUUCCUGAAAUUUAAGAAAAUACAGGCGAUGGCCUUGUAUAAGGCAACAACACUUUUGAGCGGCAGAUCGCUGGAUCGCCUCAAAAGAAAUGAGCUGCUGCAGCUCGUGGAUUGUAUUCUGAAGAUUCAAGAUGAAAAUUACGUAACACGUAAAAAGAAAAGCAAAAGCCAAUUUAUGAAAAUAUUAGAUUUGACCCCGUAACGACUGACCCGAAAGGGGAGAUGGCAGAAGCCCUCGUGCAUAGAUACGAGGGAAAGCCUGUCAUAAUACGCCGACCCCCGUCUUCUUUAAAGUAGGACAUCCAAAGAUUGGCGGGGUGAAGAUAUAGUCUACGCAACGAGCGAUCGUUGAAUACGUGACGAGAGGACCGGGAGGGACGAACCUCUGGUGUACCGGCUGUUCCGCCAGGAGCACCGCCGGGUAGCUAUGUUCGGUCGGGAUAAGCGCUGAAAGCAUAUAAGCGCGAAGCCCACCCCAAGAAUAGGAUUCAUAGCCCCCUUGGAGAUGACAAGGUUGAUAGGCCAUAGGUGGAAGCGCAGUAAUGCGUUGAGCCGAGUGGUACUAAUAGGGCGUUUCUCGGCUAG
rfam:Candidatus Terrybacteria bacterium RIFCSPHIGHO2_01_FTLL_48_17 rifcsphigho2_01_scaffold_850, whole genome shotgun sequence.